rnacentral:rRNA from 1 species
UACGUAGGGUCCGAGCGUUGUCCGGAAUUACUGGGCGUAAAGAGCUCGUAGGUGGUUUGUCGCGUUGUUCGUGAAAACUCACAGCUCAACUGUGGGCGUGCGGGCGAUACGGGCAGACUGGAGUACUGCAGGGGAGACUGGAAUUCCUGGUGUAGCGGUGGAAUGCGCAGAUAUCAGGAGGAACACCGGUGGCGAAGGCGGGUCUCUGGGCAGUAACUGACGCUGGAGGAGCGAAAGCCGUGGGAGC